GGCCUUGACAUGCAGAGAACUUUCCAGAGAUGGAUUGGUGCCUUCGGGAACUCUGACACAGGUGCUGCAUGGCUGUCGUCAGCUCGUGUCGUGAGAUGUUGGGUUAAGUCCCGUAACGAGCGCAACCCUUGUCCUUAGUUACCAGCACGUUAUGGUGGGCACUCUAAGGAGACUGCCGGUGACAAACCGGAGGAAGGCGGGGAUGACGUCAAGUCAUCAUGGCCCUUACGGCCUGGGCUACACACGUGCUACAAUGGUCGGUACAAAGGGUUGCCAAGCCGCGAGGUGGAGCUAAUCCCAUAAAACCGAUCGUAGUCCGGAUCGCAGUCUGCAACUCGACUGCGUGAAGUCGGAAUCGCUAGUAAUCGUGAAUCAGAAUGUCACGGUGAAUACGUUCCCGGGCCUU
rnacentral:rRNA from 1 species